rnacentral:rRNA from 1 species
ACGAACGCUGGCGGCAGGCCUAACACCUGCAAGUCGAGCGAGGACUUCGGUUCUAGCGGCGGACGGGUGAGUCACGCGUGGGAAUGUGCCCUUCUCUACGGAAUAGCCCUGGGAAACUGGGAGUAAUACCGUAUACGCCCUAUUGGGGAAAGAUUUAUCGGAGAAGGAUCAGCCCGCGUUGGAUUAGGUAGUUGGUGGGGUAAUGGCCUACCAAGCCGACGAUCCAUAGCUGGUUUGAGAGGAUGAUCAGCCACACUGGGACUGAGACACGGCCCAGACUCCUACGGGAGGCAGCAGUGGGGAAUCUUAGACAAUGGGGGCAACCCUGAUCUAGCCAUGCCGCGUGAGUGAUGAAGGCCUUAGGGUUGUAAAGCUCUUUCAGCUGGGAAGAUAAUGACGGUACCAGCAGAAGAAGCCCCGGCUAACUCCGUG